rnacentral:lncRNA from 1 species
UUAAAAUGUUGCAUUGUUUUUAUUGGCAAAAUUUAUAAAACUGGAGCACUUCAGGAUAUUUUAGCUGCUCAUCAAGUCAAAAUGGCAGGGAGCAAUAAGAAAUGCAGUUUUAGUUGUGAUUAAUGUAGAAAUAGCCACAGAACUGGGGAAAUAGGAAAAUUCAUAAAUGAACUGCAGUUUAUCACAGGUGUUUUUUGCUUAUAAGUGUGUUUGUGCAGUCCUUUUCUCUCUCUUAGAGACACUGAAACAUAUAAGAAAUUUAACCUUUAGGAAAGAAAUCUCCUUACAACUGUAAUCCAUUUGAUUUUGCUUUCCAAGGCUGGCGAAAAGAGAUACAUGUCAAAGUAUGUGCAACAGAAACCAUGAAGGGAAAUAUAGAUAUAGCCUUGACUGGAACUAAUGGGUUCAGAAAAAAAUAUGCCAUUGACAAGGGAACUCUCAAACCAGGCAACACCUACUUGAACUACAUUGAUACAGAAAUUCCUGGGAACAUUUCAAAAGUUGAGUUUCUCUGGAAAAAGCAAGUAGGUCAUGCAGACAGAGGCUGCAUGGGAGCUGAAGAAGUCCGAAUAAUAUCUGGUGAAAAUGGGAAUGUGUCUGUGUUCUGUGGGUGUGGAGCUGUGCAGCCCAGCAUGUGGCAAGCCCUGGCUCUGUGCUGAGGGCCAGGAACGCCUGGAGCCCUGCAGCAACCCUCACCAGCUGGAACAGGACACCACAGGCAGCAGCAAAGGACUAACAAGGCUCCCUCAACAGACUUGGAGAAAUUUGUCCAGCCCUCCAUAAAAGCUCAAUUUCCAAGUUAGUGCUGUCACCUUUUCUCCAUGCUACACUCCUGUGAACUAUGGUUACAAUGACAGAAAACACAUAUGUUACUAAUAACCAGCUGGACUCUUUUCUAUACCUGAAACAUGCAUUUCCUUUAUCAAAACUAUUGUACUACUGAGGAACUUGAAUUUUCUGGCAGCCUUCAAUAAAAAACCCUAUUUUCUCUUUGCCAGUGAAACUUAAUUUUCCACCUUUACUUUGCCUUUGUGACAAUGCUGAAGUCAGAUUUGAGCUACAUCAUUUGGAUUAGCAUUGCCACUCCAAAUUUGUUAGCAUUUUGAUUGUACUGAUUAGCAAAACCAGACCACUAACAGUUAUCAGCAUCAGCCAAAAUAAGCUAAGGUUCCUUUGUUUCAAUGCAGGCUACCCACAAAAAAUUCUUUCAUUUUUUAAUUACCAGCUGUUGUCUGAGGCAUGCAACAGAUUUUUGCAUCUGAUGUAAAGUUUAUCAUUUGGGUGCAGAAAUUAAGUUGGGC